AGAGUUUGAUCAUGGCUCAGGACGAACGCUGGCGGCGUGCUUAACACAUGCAAGUCGAGCGGAAAGGCCCUUCGGGGUACUCGAGCGGCGAACGGGUGAGUAACACGUGAGGAACCUGCCCUUAACUCUGGGAUAGCUUCGGGAAACCGGAAUUAAUACCGGAUAUGACCAUGAUCGGCAUCGGCCAUGGUGGAAAGAUUUAUCGGUUAGGGAUGGACUCGCGGCCUAUCAGCUUGUUGGUGGGGUAACGGCCCACCAAGGCGACGACGGGUAGCCGGCCUGAGAGGGCGACCGGCCACACUGGGACUGAGACACGGCCCAGACUCCUACGGGAGGCAGCAGUGGGGAAUAUUGCGCAAUGGGCGAAAGCCUGACGCAGCAACGCCGCGUGGGGGAUGAAUGUCUUCGGAUUGUAAACCCCUUUCAGCAGGGACGAAGCGAAAGUGACGGUACCUGCAGAAGAAGCGCCGGCUAACUACGUGCCAGCAGCCGCGGUAAUACGUAGGGCGCAAGCGUUGUCCGGAAUUAUUGGGCGUAAAGAGCUCGUAGGUGGUUUGUUACGUCUGCUGUGAAAACCUAGGGCUUAACCCUGGGCCUGCAGUGGAUACGGGCAGACUAGAGGUAGGUAGGGGAGAAUGGAAUUCCCGGUGUAGCGGUGAAAUGCGCAGAUAUCGGGAGGAACACCGGUGGCGAAGGCGGUUCUCUGGGCCUUACCUGACACUGAGGAGCGAAAGCGUGGGGAGCGAACAGGAUUAGAUACCCUAGUAGUCC
rnacentral:rRNA from 1 species